AAUCAACGCUGGCGGCGUGCCUCAGACAUGCAAGUCGAACGAUUAAGACUCUCUUCGGAGAGUGUAUAAAGUGGCGCACGGGUGAGUAACACGUAGGUAAUGUGCCUUUGGGUGGGGAAUAACUUAGGGAAACUUAAGCUAAUACCGCAUAAUGCAGCGGCUCGACAUCGAGACAGUUGUUAAAGAUUUAUCACCUAAAGAGCAGCCUGCGGCAGGUUAGCUAGUUGGUAAGGUAAUGGCUUACCAAGGCGAUGAUCUGUAUCCGAACUGAGAGGGUGGUCGGACACACUGACACUGAAUAACGGGUCAGACUCCUCCGGGAGGCAGCAGUCGGGAAUUUUGGGCAAUGGGCGAAAGCCUGACCCAGCAACGCCGCGUGAAGGAUGAAGUAUUUCGGUAUGUAAACUUCGUAAGAAUAGGAAGAAUAAAUGACGGUACUAUUUGUAAGGUCCGGCUAACUACGUGCCAGCCGCCGCAGUAAUAC
rnacentral:rRNA from 1 species